rnacentral:rRNA from 1 species
CACGCCGUAAACGAUGGGUGCUAGGUGUAGGAGGUAUCGACCCCUUCUGUGCCGUAGUUAACACAAUAAGCACCCCGCCUGGGGAGUACGGCCGCAAGGUUGAAACUCAAAGGAAUUGACGGGGGCCCGCACAAGCGGUGGAGCAUGUGGUUUAAUUCGACGCAACGCGAAGAACCUUACCAGGGUUUGACAUCCUCUGACAGCCUAUGAAAGUAGGUUUUUCAUCUUCGGAUGGACAGGGAGACAGGUGG